rnacentral:misc_RNA from 1 species
CAUGAGUGGUGUUUGGUUUGUUUCGGGUGGUUGGAUGUUUGCUUGCGCAACAACGUCCAUUCGAGCAAGCCUUUUCAUGUUUGCGUCAAGGCAUCUUAGUCCUUGAGCAUCRUUGUGGGUUUCUUGUGUUGCAUUCCUACUUGAAGGCAUUGAAUGAGUUGAUCUUGGUCAUAUUUCAUCUUGUGCUGCUUUGCAGUGUGUGAUGAACCUCGAAGCAUUGUCUUUGGUCCAACUUGUCAUUGUUCACACAUUGACAUUGUGGCCCAUUGAUCAUUGCUUGGUAUCUUGGAUAUGGAACAUGAGAAAGGCAGGAGGGUCGUAACCGAUUUUCUAUUUGCCUUGGUUAAGCGUAAUUGCUUAUUUCUAACGACGGCUUGUUUUGUGUGGUUUUGUCCAUGCAUGACGAGUUAUGUCGAAGAGGAGUGUUACCUGGUUGAUCCU